AGGUGAAAAGCACUUCGAACAGAAGAGUGAAAUAGUCCCUGAACCCAUACGCCUACAAGCUGUCGGAGCCGCUUCGUGCGGUGACGGCGUGCCUUUUGCAUAAUGAGCCUACGAGUUACUCAUCACCAGCGAGGUUAAGUACUUCAGGUACGUAAGCCGAAGCGAAAGCGAGUCUGAAUAGGGCGUCAAGUUGGUGGUGGUAGACGCGAAACCUUAGUGAUCUACCCAUGGGCAGGGUGAAGGUUUGGUAACACAAACUGGAGGCCCGAACCGGUAAACGUUGAAAAGUUUUCGGAUGACCUGUGGGUAGGGGUGAAAGGCCAAUCAAACUGGGAAAUAGCUCGUACUCUCCGAAAUGCAUUUAGGUGCAGCCUCUGUUGUUUUGUUCUAGAGGUAGAGCUACUGAUUGGAUGCGAGGGCUUCACCGCCUAUCAAAUCCGGCCAAACUCCGAAUGCUAGAACAUGAAGACAGGGAGUGAGCCAGCGGGUGCUAAGGUCCGUUGACGAAAGAGGGAGAACUCAGACCAUCAGCUAAGGUCCCCAAUUAUAUGCUAAGUUGGAAUUAAAACGGGGUGGGACUGCUUAGACAGCUAGGAUGUUGGCUUGGAAGCAGCCAUUCAUUUAAAGAGUGCGUAACAGCUCACUAGUCGAGCGGUCCUGCAUGGAUAAUACGCGGGCAUAAGCAUAUAACCGAAGCUAUGGGAUUGUAGAUGAUACAAUCGGUAGGAGAGCAUUCCAUUCAGCAUAGAAGCAGUACCGUGAGGUAUUGUGGAGCGGAUGGAAAAGCAAAUGUAGGCAUAAGUAACGAUAAUGCGGGUGAGAACCCCGCACGCCGAAAGAUCAAGGAUUCCCCGGCAAUGUCAAUCAUCCGGGGGUAAGUCGGAUCCUAAGGGUAAGCCGAGUGGCGAUCCCGAUGGCAAACAGGUUAAUAUUCCUGUACUGAUCAUAACUGCGAUGCAGCGACGCAGAGGUGACACUGCUGCGUACUGACGGAAUAGUACGUUGAAACCCGUAUUCUUUGAUACCGGUAGUGAAGCACGCCGGUAGAGAUGAAAGGUGAUAGUACCGCAAUGCUUCGGUUGCGCGGAUAACGCAGGUAAGCUGACUGCCAAGAAAACCUGCUAAGCUUCAGGUAAUGAUCAUCCGUACUGUAAACGGACACACGUGAUCAGGUAGAAAAUACUAAGGCGCUCGAGAGAUUCAUGGUUAAGGAACUAGGCAAAAUGGUCCUGUAACUUCGGGAUAAAGGACGCUCUUGUGAAAGAGCCGCAGAUAAUAGGCCCAGGCGACUGUUUACCAAAAACACAUGGCUAUGCUAAUUCGCAAGAAGAUGUAUAUGGCCUGACACCUGCCCGGUGCCGGAAGGUUAAGAGGAGAGCUCAGAGGCAACUCGAAGGUUUGAAUUGAAGCCCCGGUAAACGGCGGCCGUAACUAUAACGGUCCUAAGGUAGCGAAAUUCCUUGUCGGGUAAGUUCCGACCUGCACGAAUGGUGUAACGAUCUGGGUACUGUCUCAACCAUGAGCUCGGUGAAAUUGUAGUUCCGGUGAAGAUGCCGGAUACCCGCAACGGGACGGAAAGACCCCGUGAACCUUUACUGCAGCUUUGCAUUGAUUUUGGGUAACAGAUGUGUAGGAUAGGUCGGAGGCUUUGAUGCUGCGUCGUCAGGCGUAGAGUAGCCGUCGUUGAAAUACGACCCUUUUGUUAUCUGAGGUCUAAUCCCGUUAGGGAGACAUUGCAUGGUGGGUAGUUUGACUGGGGUGGUCGCCUCCAAAAGUGUAACGGAGGCUUCUCAAGGUACCCUCAAGGCGUUUGGUAAUCGUCUGCAGAGUGCAAUGGCAUAAGGGUGCUUGACUGUGAGACCGACACGUCGAUCAGGUUGGAAACAAGAGCAUAGUGAUCCGGUGGUUCCGCAUGGAAGGGCCAUCGCU
rnacentral:rRNA from 1 species